GGAGACCGUCGGCAGACGCGUUGUUUUGCCUACCAGGUCAGGUUCGAGAGAAAGCAGCCGGGGCGGGACGUGCGCGGGUUGGCGGCGGUCUCCUGC
rnacentral:SRP_RNA from 1 species